CUGCUGCCUUCCGUAGGAGUCUGGUCCGUGUCUCAGUACCAGUGUGGGGGACCUUCCUCUCAGAACCCCUACGCAUCGUCGGUUAGGUGGGCCGUUACCCCGCCUACUGCCUAAUGCGCCGCAUGCCCAUCCCUGUCCGGCCGAAGCCUUUCCUGCCUCCGGGAUGCCCCGGUGGCAUGUACGCGGGUUUAGCCCGCCUUUCGGCGGUUGUCCCCCUGACAGGGGCAGGUUGCAUACGUGUUACUCACCCGUGCGCCGGUCGCCGGCGGAGAAAG
rnacentral:rRNA from 1 species